UGGGAUGAAAACGAUCUGACGUCAUCAAGCAGGCGCAGAGCUGUGAUUGGUCAGUUCCUCUGUGUUGUUGUGCUACUGUCCGUGGGACUCGCCCGACCAUCCGCCCUAAAGAGGAACAGAAACGUGAUGACGUAACGCACGGGGGGGUAAUUCGCUCCAACGGUGGUCGCUGCUGUGUGUUUGACGAACACCUGCCCCUGGUUCAGUAACACGGUCUCUGCAACGACGACAACAAACGCACAUUCACAGCCGACCACGACUUUGCGUUGCAUGUUGCAAGAUGGCGUCGAGCUGACAUCGUAAAUCAGGUAGGACUGCAGGGCCGCUACCGCCGUCUUUGAAAGCCAGGGACUCGGAGUGGAGGAGGUGCCCGUUAGACGUGACCUUCCGCUCGCAGAGCGCGGACGGCUUGCUGCUGGCUUUUGAUAACGCUUAGUUCACGAGGAAUGUGGCUUCCUUGCUGUUUGUUUAUUUGUCUACAUGUGUACAACAUGACUUAAUGUGGCGUGAUUUGAGGCAUCAGGAGGUUAAACCACUCAACGCGAAUCUUGUGCUGUUAUUUCACAACUUCACAAUUGGUGAGUGAGACCUGCCGAAUAACUUGUUUUGAUGUUUGUGUUUUUGUUUAUUAAUCCUGAACAGUUUGACACAGGUGGGAAGGUGGAGAGGGGCUGUAGGCAGACCCAUGGCUGCCGUGCAUCACCCAGGGUGCCCACUCAGGGACUCACUUUACUGGGAUGAAACAGAGUGUCUAAACUACUAUGGGAUGUUGUCUCUCCAUGAGGUCUUUGAAGUCGUUGGUUGUCAGCUGACGGAGACUGACGUUGAAGUGUUGUCAUUCCUUCUGGAUGAAACGUGUCCUGCAACACACCCUCUUGACCCAACAGAUUGGACAGUUAAGCCCUGUGUAGGCGAUCCAGAUUACUUUGGUGUUUCCCCGAGUCCCGAGCUGCUAAAGGCCUGGAAGCGGUUAAAGCCUCAGGGCUCCCAGCAUCCCUUAGCGGCCUCGUAUAAGCCCAAGAGUGGCCUUGAGCUGUUGUUGGAGCUGGAUAGGCGAGGAUACCUCAGUGACGGCAACCUGGAGCCACUACUGCAACUACUGAGAGUCCUCACUCGUCAUGACUUGCUGCCUUUAGUGUCCCGCAAGAAAAGAAGGACAGGUGAGGAUGAAAGACGGGCUCAUGAGCAGAUUUUGAGAACGAGUGCUUCUCUCUACCAUGGACUUCUAGAACAUGUCAGCAAUAACUGCAUUCCUGUCCAAAAAGGCAUAGCCUGAUACAUACAAACACGUGUUUUUGUUUUUCAGUAUCUCCAGAGAGAAUUGGACCGCGAUAUGGAACAGAGAACAACCAGUUGUCCUCUGGGAUACAGCACAGCCACAGACAGACAGAAAUACCUCUUCCAUAUUUCACGCAGCAAUUAAGAACUGGUAUUUACCCUCCGCCGCCUGGGCCAUCUGCUCGGAGGAGGAGGAAGAAGAGGGGAAAUGGCUGGAGCCGCAGGCCCAAGAAAAUCUGCCGACAGGGCCCUCCACUUCCUCCACCACGACCACACAAAGCGUUCUGCAGUUGUCUCAGGAUUGUGACUCAGAUCGAGUAACCUAAGACUCACUGGAUCGUGGAGACAGAGACUGAGGAACAAAACAAAAAAAGUCUCUCCACUCAGUCCAUAGAUACUGCCGUGUGCGUGAUCAACUCAGCCGUGUGCGUGAUCAACUCAGUCGUGUGCGCUCUCUCACAAGUCUGGGCCGAUGCCUAAGUUCGAAAACAGUAUCCUCACACACAAUCAGAAGGACAGAACGAGCUCUAAAUGAUCAAACUACGCAAAAUGGUACCAAGAGUGAUUUUUGUCUUUGGGGGAAAGAGAGAGUUCUGUCUGCCCGUCUCUCAAUACUCCCGAACUCUCCACUCUCUCUCGGUCAGUCAUUCAGCAGAAAAACGGAUCGAUAAAGAGUUGAAGCUCUCUGUGCCAAGUGACUCCUUGUAAAUGGGUACUUAAACUUUUCUUCUUCUUUUUUUGAAGGGGUGGGGGUGAGAUGGAGGAAGCCAAACGGGCUGGGUGUUUAAAGUGAGAAAAUGAAAGCUGUGCCUCCUAAUGUUCUGUCUAAGUGGAUGUCUCUGUGUCUGAUGAAGCGUGAAGUGCUCUGUAACCCUAACAAAAUGACUAUCAUGGUGUUCCUGUGGUUUUAAAUGGCCUUCUCCUCGGUGCCACUAUCUCUACCUCCAUCCUGCUCAGUAUGAAAUGGGAAGGCAGACAUGGAGGCCAUCCAUAAAUACAGUAAUUGCAUGAAGGGUGGUUGUUUGUCAUAGCCACAGCCCUCCGCACAGUAUAAUGAUCCAAAAGGUCAAACUGUUAACGGAGCUUUAACUUAAUAUAUCACUGAGCCCGUACUGAACAUUGUGUAAGAGUGCAAAGAGUUAACUGACAGAUAAUUAGACAUUUUGUGAUAAAUCUGAAUACUGAAAUACUUUAACACAUCCCGUGUCUGCUGAUUUGUCAUUAUUCUUGCAUGGACAUUGUACAACUUUGAAUCGCCAUGUAUGCCUUUUUGACACCGAUUUAAGCCUUUGUCAAAGUGAGAACAAAUCUGCACAAAUUCCUGGGUUAUUAUGCAAAAGAAAUGAUCUUCGUCACAGUUCUCUUGGCCGACUGCAGCAGGUUGCUCCUUCAGGACUUCCCUGUAUUUGUGCUGCAUUCAGUUUAAUCCCUAUGUUCUCGAGCAAUGCAGGGCCUGCUGCAGUGAAGCAUCCCACAGCAGGAUGCUGCUCCCAUCACACUUGAAUGUGGGGUUGGUUGAUUUCUGUUGGUGAGCUGUGAUUUGGCAUAUGCCAAACACUGAGGGAGGAGACAUCUUGUAAUAGUUUCUUUUAAUGCUCAUUCCUCUGCACCCGCCUUACGGUUGUGUGCAGUGUCUCCCAUCUCAGUUUCCAUAAGCGUCUCAGGGGCCAUCUUCAACCAGUACUUGUCUUCGGUCCAGCAUGCUCUCGGUAGAUUACCAUAUAUUUUAGGAUUGAUUGAACUGCAUACAAGGUUAUUGUGGCUUUUGAAGCUUUUCUGUUCCCUUCCCCUCACUGAUAUUUUUGAGUUACCAAUCAGCAACAGCCGCUAUUCUGUUGGCCAUGUUUGUCCUCAUGAUGCAGACUUGCUGGCUGUUAGCGGUCCACUGUUGAUCAGUGUUGUAAAACAAUAAAACACCAAAAGAGGGGGGAUGAAUACUUACUGGCUGUACGUACUCUGAGGACAGGUGUGGAUCUGUGCUGUGACCAAAUAAUGUACGUGUAGCUCUGUUUUGUCAAUGAAUUGACCUCAAGGUUAUUACAGACUAAUACAAGUAAUGAUGACAUUGUAUUAGAGACAGGGUUUAAUAAUUUGUCAAGUAACAAUCAAAUGUCUUAUUCCUGUAAAUGUUUCAUGUUGCAUCUGUGAACAAAAAAACGUGCCUUUUUUUUUUUUGUAUGAGCUAAUGUAAAUUGAAUGGUUUCCCAGUCUUAUCCCCAGCCCUGCAUGUUUUAAACAUUUACCAAACAUCAUCGAUUAAGCGUCCACUUUGAUCCAGUGCUCUGUUUUUAUAGUAAUCUAAUUACAGCCUAAUGAAGCUUGAAUGCAAAUGCCAAUGUUUGGUCAUCGCUGUCCUAUAAAUGUUAAGUCAUGCAAAAUCAAUGCCUUAAUUCAACUUUUGCAUUUCUAAUGUUGACAUUUUCUGAACUUCAUCCCUCUGGAGUCUUGUGCCAUUCCCCGUAGCCCCAAACCAAAUCUAAAUGGAGACUAAAUGGGACUUUUGACUUGAAUCUUUCAUCAGUGGGGUCAGAGAUACUUUAUAGUUAACCAGAGACCUCGAUGAGUAAAAUGAAAUGAGAUUACGGCCAUCGUCUUCCCAUCAGUCACAAGUAUGAGCUUUAACCACAAAACUCUGGGUCUCAUAUGUGUCAAUAUGCUUAUGAAAUAAGACUCACUUUACUCAACAGUCAAAGGCAUUUUAAAGGGAUACUUUACCCACAAAAUGACCAUUUGUACAGUAUAUCAAUUACUCACCCGCCGUGUCCUCGAGCUAUUGAAGAAAUGCCUCCACGGUGACCUUUUCGCUAACGUGAGCUGUCGAGUGCAAAACCGAGGCAUCAUUCCGAGGCCAUGCGUAACGUAAUAACACGACUUCAGGAGUAGCGAAAGUCAGAUGGCAGCUGCCGGUAGCACGUUUUCGCUCUCGGACUCAGUUUCACAAGCGGUUCUGAGAAUUACGGGGAGCCUUCAGAUAACGUAAAAUCUCUCUCACUCGAGCCAGUGUUUGGUUUGUCCAUUUUGGGCUACUGUAGAAACACGGCAUGAGCACCAUGAGCUCGUCCUAACCUCAAAACAAUGAUUCUUCAAGGAUAUUAUACACUGAAUUAACUGGGGGGAAAAAAAUAGGUUUGAAUAUUUUAUUUUGGCCUUUUUAAAUCCCCUGACACAGGCCCUUUUUUAAGUCCCUUUUAUUAUUAUUUAUUUUUUUCAAUCUUGGGGAGCAGAGGUUUUGGUUUUUCAUAGCAAGAGAUGCAAAUGUGGCUUUAAAACUGCUUGAAAUAAAUGAUCCUACACACCGUUUGCAGAUGAGAAUGUUUCCAGUGAAAUGGAUGGUCGUAGGUACUGUUUACUUCUUCUUAAGGGCUUUGAGUAGAAGGGAUGGAUUUUUGUUGCAGCAAAAGUCGUCAGCAGCUGGUUUCCACUCGAAGCCCUGGAAUAAUGACAUGGGAGACGGUCUCAGCGGUUCUCUUACUCAGUACAGUAUGUAUGUAUCCUCUGAUCUUUCUCGCUGCGCUGUUGCAUGACCACCAAUCCUGUUACUGCCAGACUCCAGCAGCUAUCUGUUCUCGGCAAUAAAACAUGUUGAUAGGAAUGAAUCUGCCGUUUUUAAACACCGGACUGGAACAGAAAGCCCCUCUGGGGCUCAACACUGCUAAGUUGCUCUCAUUGCUGCCGCCACCAUAUUUGUUCAGAGCGUCAAGUUAAUUCUCACUUUAUUAAUUACACCAUGAUUUAUGUCAACCAUGCAGGAUGUCACACUGAAUAUUCUCAUGCAUCAGCUUCUCGUGACCUCUGGCAGUCAUCUAGUUAAAAGCUGACAUGGAUUUG